GACGAACGCUGGCGGCGUGCUUAACACAUGCAAGUCGAACGGAAAGGCCCUGCUUUUGUGGGGUGCUCGAGUGGCGAACGGGUGAGUAACACGUGAGUAACCUGCCCUUGACUUUGGGAUAACUUCAGGAAACUUGUGCUAAUACAGGAUAGGAGCUCCUGCUGCAUGGUGGGGGUUGGAUAGUUUCGGCGGCUGGGGAUGGACUCGCGGCUUAUCAGCUUGUUGGUGGGGUAGUGGCUUACCAAGGCUUUGACGGGUAGCCGGCCUGAGAGGGUGACCGGCCACAUUGGGACUGAGAUACGGCCCAGACUCCUACGGGAGGCAGCAGUGGGGAAUAUUGCACAAUGGGCGGAAGCCUGAUGCAGCAACGCCGCGUGCGGGAUGACGGCCUUCGGGUUGUAAACCGCCUUCGCCUGUGACGAAGCGUGAGUGACGGUACUGGGUAAAGAAGCACCGGCUAACUACGUG
rnacentral:rRNA from 1 species